rnacentral:rRNA from 1 species
UACGUAGGGUGCGAGCGUUAAUCGGAAUUACUGGGCGUAAAGGAUGCGCAGGCGGUCUCGUAAGCUGGGUGUGAAAGCCCCGGGCUUAACCUGGGAAUGGCAUUCAGGACUGCGAGGCUUUGAGUGUGGCAGAGGGAGGUGGAAUUCCACGUGUAGCAGUGAAAUGCGUAGAGAUGUGGAGGAACACCGAUGGCGAAGGCAGCCUCCUGGGCCAGCACUGACGCUCAUGCACGAAAGCGUGGGGAGCAAACAGG